rnacentral:rRNA from 1 species
AUUGAACGCUGGCGGCAUGCCUUACACAUGCAAGUCGAACGGCAGCAUGGAGAGCUUGCUCUUUGAUGGCGAGUGGCGAACGGGUGAGUAAUGCAUCGGAACGUACCGUGUAAUGGGGGAUAACGUAGCGAAAGUUACGCUAAUACCGCAUACGACCUGAGGGUGAAAGCAGGGGAUCGCAAGACCUUGCGUUAUACGAGCGGCCGAUGUCAGAUUAGCUAGUUGGUGAGGUAAAGGCUCACCAAGGCGACGAUCUGUAGCGGGUCUGAGAGGAUGAUCCGCCACACUGGGACUGAGACACGGCCCAGACUCCUACGGGAGUCAGCAGUGGGGAAUUUUGGACAAUGGGGGCAACCCUGAUCCAGCCAUGCCGCGUGAGUGAAGAAGGCCUUCGGGUUGUAAAGCUUUUUCGGCCGGGAAGAAAUCGCACAGGCUAAUACUCUGUGUGGAUGACGGUACCGGCAUAAGAAGCACCGGCUAACUACGUGCCAGCCGCCGCGGUAA